UACGGAAGGGGGCUAGCGUUGCUCGGAAUCACUGGGCGUAAAGGGUGCGUAGGCGGGUCUUUAAGUCAGGGGUGAAAUCCUGGAGCUCAACUCCAGAACUGCCUUUGAUACUGAGGAUCUUGAGUUCGGAGAGGUGAGGUGGAACUGCGAGUGUAGAGGUGAAAUUCGUAGAUAUUCGCAAGAACACCAGUGGCGAAGGCGGCUCACUGGCCCGAGUACUGACGCUGAGGCGCGAAAGCGAUGGGGAGCAAAGCAGGGAUUAAGAAACCCU
rnacentral:rRNA from 1 species